rnacentral:rRNA from 1 species
GAUGAACGCUGGCGGCGUGCUUAACACAUGCAAGUCGAACGAGAAAUGUAGACGGAAACCUUCGGGCGGAAGCCUUCAUUUCGAGUGGCGGACGGGUGAGUAACGCGUGGGUAACCUGCCUCAUACAGGGGGAUAACAGUUGGAAACGACUGUUAAUACCGCAUAAGACCACAGCAUCGCAUGAUGCGGGGGUAAAAACUCCGGUGGUAUGAGAUGGACCCGCGUUCGAUUAGCCAGUUGGCGGGGUAACGGCCCACCAAAGCGACGAUCGAUAGCCGAUCUGAGAGGAUGACCGGCCACAUUGGGACUGAGACACGGCCCAAACUCCUACGGGAGGCAGCAGUGGGGAAUAUUGCACAAUGGGGGAAACCCUGAUGCAGCGACGCCGCGUGAGUGAAGAAGUACUUCGGUAUGUAAAGCUCUAGCAGCAGGGAAGAAAAUGACGGUACCUGAGUAAGAAGCCCCGGCUAACUACGUG